AAAGUGGUGUGUGUAGUGAUCAACCAUGGUGAUCAGUCCGGCUCAGCUGCUUAACAUUAUGGAGGAUCUGAACUCAGACGAGUUGAAGAGAUUUCAGUGGUACCUGACUCAGGGUAUGGGGAAUGACUAUCCUCCCAUCCCAAAGAGCUGGCUGGAAAAUGGAGACAGGAUGGAGACAGUGGAUAAGAUGGUGCAGAGUUACAGACUGGACGGUGCUGUGAAAAUCACUCUGAAGAUCCUGAAGAAGAUGAACCAGAAUAGUCUCGCUGAGAAGUUAAAUAAAUACAUAUAGGAGCUAGAGAGAAGAGGCUCAGUGGCUCUGCUGACCAAGCUGAUGAAUAAGGAUAAAGCUAAAGGGAGAUUCUACCUGGCACUGUCAGAGGACCUGGAGAAGCAGACAACAUCCUGAAAGAUGACAUGCAUACAGCAAGAUUAAAGGGUUGUUGUUCUGAAUUCAACACAAGCCAACCAAGAAUGAGCAAGAAUAUUUUAAUUUGCCUUGCCAUUUCAAACAAAAGGACAUUACUGUAUACUAAUAAGAUGAUCCAGCAGGGGUUGUUAUAAGACAAACUUAAGACUAACAAUAUUGUUUGGACCCCAGGAAGAGCAGCAGCUAAUUAGGGAUCAUAAUAAAUACUAAAUUGUAUAAUGUAUGGACAGCAAACACAGUCGAAAAUGCAUUUCUUUUUUUGCCUUCACAUGUACAUGGCUGAUUGACAAGAUUAGGCCUAGUACUGGACUGUUGUGGGCUGUAUUGCAUGGAAAGAUAGCACAUUAUUUACAUUGGUUUGGUUUACAGUACACUGCUCCUAAAUAUCUAGCUAUUCAAUGUCACAUUUUAAGCACAUCUUGUAUAAUUUUAAUACACUUCCUGUUGAGUGUAAAGAAAUAUCUACAAGACAUUAAAUUCUGAAAAUAAUUUGGAGUCAUGUGGGACACUCAACUGAGAAUAUAGGUAUCUUUACUUCAAGUAUGACUAAUUGUACAGCAAAUCCUUCGCAACAUUUUCUUGAUACUUGUGAGCCUAAUAAAUUCAAAAGGAAUACA